rnacentral:rRNA from 1 species
UACGUAGGUCCCGAGCGUUGUCCGGAUUUAUUGGGCGUAAAGCGAGCGCAGGUGGUUUAUUAAGUCUGGUGUAAAAGGCAGUGGCUCAACCAUUGUAUGCAUUGGGAACUGGUAGACUUGAGUGCAGGAGAGGAGAGUGGAAUUCCAUGUGUAGCGGUGAAAUGCGUAGAUAUAUGGAGGAACACCGGUGGCGAAAGCGGCUCUCUGGUCUGUAACUGACACUGAGGCUCGAAAGCGUGGGGAGCAAACAGG